rnacentral:lncRNA from 1 species
GGGGACACCCCAAGGCGCCACGAGGAUCCCCCUGGCUUGGCUGCUGCGAAGGGCGGGUCCGGCGACCGCGCGCGCAGCGGGAGAAGCAGGCGCCGCAGUCCUGGAAGAUGAGCAGCCCCACCACGUUGACCGCCAGCCCCAGGGCUCCCACGAUAAGCACCAGCUCCGGGUCGUCGAUGCGCUCGGGCCGCGCGAGGCGCAACACGGCCUCCACGAAGAUGGUAAAGCAGAGCGCAGUGAGGAAGACUGCGUUGCUGAGCGCGCCCACCACCUCGGCCCGCACGUAGCCGUAGGUGGCACCGGAGCCGCGGGGACCGCGCCGCGCGAUGUAGCCGGAGCCCAGGCCCACGCACAGCGAGAUCAGGUCUGACAGCAUGUUGAACGAGUCCGAGAGCAGUGCGAUGGAGUUGCCCAGGUAACCCGACACCAGCUCGGCCACGAAGAAGGCCGCGGUGAGCACCAGCAUGAACAGCAGCCGGCACGUCUUGCCUGAGUAACGGCCCAUCUCUACAGCCCGCUGCGCCCCGCAACAGGCCCUGUUCCAAGUGACAAUCACUCAAAGGGAACAUGUCCUGGACUUGAGAGUCUACACUGCAGCCCCUUCAGAAAGGGUAUUUGCUGUUGGUCACUUCGGAGACAGAAGUUGGUACCGUCGACUGAGACCUGUAAGAUGGGAACAGCCUGAAACCAGCCAGCAGCCAACAUCACUUUGAACAGGUCGCUGAUAAAGCCAAAUGAGUCCCUUUGAGAGCAGAGGCCGCUGGAAUUCACCUGCGGUUAUGGACACUGUGACUUUGGACUGCAGGUCUCAUCCCUUCUCCAGGUAACAAGGGCAGUCCAGAGAGUCACUACGAUACUGACUGCUGCUUGUCAACUCAGAUCUAGAAUCAGUCGCUUGGGAAAUACGGGAAAUCCUGAUGGAUUAACUGCAGUGGGAAGCUAGGCAGCACUAUUCCACGAUCUGGGGUCCUGGGCCGUUCGAAAAGGAGAAAGGGGGUUGAGCAGGGUGUGGAAUUCUCAGCGAUUCCUGAGGGCUCAGAGACAGCGAUUCCUGAGGGCUCAGAGACAGCGAUUCCAUGACUUCUUCACUGGGACACACUGCGUCCUCGAAGUCUCAGCUCAAACCAGCCCUUCCUUCCCUGAAUGGCGUUUGUCAGGUGUUCCUCACAGCAAAGAGAAGAACAAUGAAUAGGGGAACUCUUGUACUCAGGGCCUGCCUGUGGAGGUGUGGGCAUGAUUUGUGACUGGGGCAAGAAGAGGAGAGCAUUAGAGGCCAAACCAGGAAGUUCGGAAACACCUCCCAUUCAGAGUUCAACACUGCAUACUGUAUCAUGUGAAGUCUGAUGGGUGCAGGGGGGAAGUAGUCAGCUGUGAGACUUCCAAUUCAAAUGAAGGAGAAAGAAUACUCAAAGUUUAAAAAUAUAUAUAUAUAGAAAAUGCCACCUUGGUGUUUAUUCUAAACCAUAGCCUUAAGGCCAAGUAAAAUUCUGUAUUGUUUCAUAAUGUUCAAAAAGAUUGUAUGUACUAUUUGAAGCUGUCAGAACUAACUCACACACACAGCUUUCUCCACUGCUGGAUUUACCUUAAACUUUAGACUACGUGAAAAUGAAACUGUCCAUUGUCCAGGAAAAUAUGAGAAAUAGCUGUUCUUAGUUAGAACCCCUGUUGGCUGAGUGUGGCAGUGAAUGCUUGCACACCCCAGCCCUUGGGAGGCAAAGAUAGAAAGGUCACAAGCUCCAGGUCAGCCUGUUCUACACAGAGAGGCUCACACCAUCCUAGACAACGUAGGGAAAUGCUGUCACAAAGACUGUAGUUAGCGAAAACCUCCGGACAUGUCUCCAGUGCACCGGUUACACACCCGUGGGAAAGCAUGGGGACACACGUGUCAAGAUCUCAGUUCCAGUACCAGCUCUGUCAGAUGUGAGCCUGCCUGUCACUUGUGUUCCCAUUAUGAGCUACACAUAGGGUACCACCCUCUUCCAUGGGAAUCAAAUAAAAUAGCAUGUGUGCUCAGCCAACAUACCACCAGCAGAGAAGCCGCAGGCAGCCCCUCCCCAUUAGCAUCUCACUGCCAACCUCCCCAGAACUUGACUUCUUUCACUAAGUAGCGUGGUAAGAGCAUCUUUGAGAGGUAUUUAGAAUGUUACCUUUUUCAUAAAAUUGUCUACUUUCCCUUGGCCAAAUUAAUCUGGUUUAAUUGGCUUAGAACUAACUAGUUACUGGUCAGCAGAGUAUUUUAUAAAACUAAACAUACUUAAAGGGCUAGGGAAUAUAGCAUUGGUGGCAUAGAGCCAGCCUGGCAUAUGUAAGACCCUGUGUUCAAUCCCUCCACCACCGUCACAUACACUGUCAACAACAACAACAGCAAUAGCAACAACAUCAAAACCAGAAGGUUGACUGGACGUUGGAAAGAUGGCUUAGUGAAGACCAUGUCUUGCUCUUGAAGAUCUAAGCACCCAUGUGAGGUAGCUUAUGAUUUGGUUAUGAGUACCCACCUGAGGUAGCUCCAGGCAAUCGGAUGCCUUCUCUGGGGCUCUGAGGGCAACAGUGCCCAAAGGUAAACACACCCAGAUACGCACAUGUAUAGUUUAUUCUCUAAAACAUGUAUUAAAAUAAAUGUAUUAUAAAUCUUCACUCU